CUGAAUCUUGAAUCUUGAGCUCUCUGUGGCUCUCCAAUGGCGGCAAACACUCUGCAAACUGCCCCUCAUCACCACCAUAACAAUACUCUCUUCAAGCCUACUUCUCCUCCUCCACCACUCUCCUCUUCUCUUUUCCUCAAACCCACUUCUUCUUCUUCCUCUGUAAUUCUCUCUGCAACCACCACCACCACAACCUUUUCUCUCUCCUCCGCCGCUGCUACCUCCACCACCAUCUCCUCCUCCCAAGCAAUUACCUUCGACCUCCUCGAGCAACACUUGUCUGCUCAAAAUUUCCGGCAAGCUGAUGAGGAGACCCGGCGGC
rnacentral:lncRNA from 1 species